CAUGCAAGUCGAGCGCCCCGCAAGGGGAACGGCAGACGGGUGAGUAACGCGUGGGAAUCUACCCAUCACUACGGAACAACUCCGGGAAACUGGAGCUAAUACCGUAUACGUCCUUCGGGAGAAAGAUUUAUCGGUGAUGGAUGAGCCCGCGUUGGAUUAGCUAGUUGGUGGGGUAAUGGCCUACCAAGGCGACGAUCCAUAGCUGGUCUGAGAGGAUGAUCAGCCACACUGGGACUGAGACACGGCCCAGACUCCUACGGGAGGCAGCAGUGGGGAAUAUUGGACAAUGGGCGAAAGCCUGAUCCAGCCAUGCCGCGUGAGUGAUGAAGGCCCUAGGGUUGUAAAGCUCUUUCAACGGUGAAGAUAAUGACGGUAACCGUAGAAGAAGCCCCGGCUAACUUCGUGCCAGCAGCCGCGGUAAUACGAAGGGGGCUAGCGUUGUUCGGAAUUACUGGGCGUAAAGCGCACGUAGGCGGAUUGUUUAGUUAGGGGUGAAAUCCCAGGGCUCAACCCUGGAACUGCCUCUAAUACUGGCAAUCUAGAGUCCGAGAGAGGUGGGUGGAAUUCCGAGUGUAGAGGUGAAAUUCGUAGAUAUUCGGAGGAACACCAGUGGCGAAAGCGGCUCACUGGCUCGGUACUGACGCUGA
rnacentral:rRNA from 1 species